rnacentral:rRNA from 1 species
UACGUAGGCGGAAGAUUAAGUCAGUGGUGAAAUCCUGCAGCUUAACUGUAGAACUGUCAUUGAUACUGGUUUUCUUGAAUAUAGUUGAGGUAGGCGGAAUGUGUAAUGUAGCGGUGAAAUGCUGAGAUAUUACACAGAACACCGAUUGCGAAGGCAGCUUACUAAGCUAUGAUUGACGCUGAGGUACGAAAGCGUGGGGAGCGAACAGGAUUAGAUACCCUGGUAGUCC